CUGCCACUGAGGUAGGAUCUUUUUCUGGAGGUCUCUCCUUUGUGGAGUUUUUCCUGUGAGCCUAGACCUUUGGAGGGUGACCUAUUGCUGGUUCUGCUGGAGGAGCUGCAAAGAUCCACAACCCCACUGCCUGCACUGAGGAGAGUAGGGAGACUACAUGUGAGAGUUCUGGCUGAUUUCUGGUGGCAGGGCAUCCCAUCCCUCUCCCACUGCAUUUUCUGCUUCCUCAGUGAAGAAGUUAUGAGCUGGGGAUAGCACUGCAGUGGAAGCAGAGUGAUUCAGAAAAUAUCAAAACACUUCCACAUGCAAGGGAGUUCUCCAGCAAACUGUGUGAGCUUGUUCAAACUUCAGCGUAUUAUCUACCAUGAGCCUGAUGCUCCUCCUCACCUCACAGCAAGUUGCAUCUCCUGUUUGUUCCAUAUAGAUCAGAGCUGGUUCUCCGAAGUGUUACUCAGACAAGGAUUAUGCUAUAUGCAGAUUUAUGUCAACAGCUGAUGUUGGCAGCACAGAUCUCUAGAUGGAGAGUGACAGAUGUACUGUAAAGAGCCUGCACACACAAACUCUCAUCCAACCAUGGUGAAGAUUGAUGUAGCAUCAGAGUGAGCAAUACUUCAGCAUUUCUUUUCUCCUUUCCGGAGACUUCUGUGUGUCUUUUCUUUCCAGUAUGGAUUCAGGGAAUGUCUCUUUCCCUCCUAAUACUGUCUCAAGCUAUGGGUUGAGUUGGAUGUGAGUUAGUUCCUAGAGAGCAGUAGAAGCUGGAACAGAUGAGAGGAUUCCAGCUGCUCCUGCCUACCUCUGGCCAGUGGACAUCUUUGUGCACAUUCCUGCUAAAUAGGCUCCACAGUACUCAGCUCAGCCCUGGCUCUGAUCAGGCUUUGUUUCUCCAAAUACUCUCUGAGCUUCUUUCUAUUCACUCCCAAGCUCCCUCAAGAAAUACUGACUGAUUGCAGUGUUUUUAUAGGAGACAAGAAAUACAUUGCUGUAGAGCCUUCCAGCAAUUUGAUUUAUAGCUGUGCAAGCACUCUGGUAAUUGCAUGUAAUAAGUUAUUGGUCCAGACCACAAUAUCUUGCACUUACAAAUGCUAGAGGGAACUCUUUUUGCUUGUAAAGCUUUUCUGAGCCUUACCCACUCUUCUUAGUUCACUUUUGAUACAUUCUUGAAAGGAUGUUUUGUCACACUUGGUGAACUGUCAUCCAGGGAAGUUCCUCUUAAUGUACUUUGAGCUUGUGUUCUGAGAGAGUAGACUUACGAACAACAUUUUAGAUAUAUUUCAACCUUUCUCUACCGUGCAUAUUCUCACCUGAAAGGCCGGUGAACCUUCCUUGUAAAUUCUUGGACUAAAUUACAGUGUGAAAUAAUGAGAUUCAGUUAAAGAAUUUUGUUUCCUUGUUUUAAACAUCCUAUAAUCACAUUAUGUGAAUUAACACCCUCUUCAUGAUUUGUGCAAAAAAAAAAAAGGAAGCGAUAAUACUUUUAUAUACUUUUCAAUCUUUUUAUUUCUGAGUGGAUUUGUUAUUCAUCUUAGGUACCUGUUUUGGAAAUUGCAUUGCCACACUGAAAGUAUUCUGUCAACUUACCUAUUAUUUUAUAUCACUUUAACCUUUCUAGAUUUACUCAUUUCUAUAUUCUUUCCCAUAUUCUAAUUCUACUUAGCACUGAGCUGAGUAAUUGUAUUUCUUACUCAUAAAAACACAGAUCUUUCCAACCAUUACAGUUAAUUGACAAUCCAAAAACAUAUUUGGUGGUCAGUAUUUCUCCAGAAUUUGUAUUUCUCAACAAUUAAUCCCUCUGAGAUGUUUCCUGCUUAUCUGAGCAGUACUAAGCUUGGAAGAACUGAAUGAGCACUGAAGGAACAAAUGAUUUUGAUGAAAAGGAGGAACAGAGAAAAAAAAAAUACAAUUAAACUCCAUCUGGAAAGGGUUUCAACUGCACAAAUACAUGGAAGGAACAAGAAUAAAGGGAUUUGAACAUUGUUAUAUCAAAAAAGCCAAUCACUUACCAUUGUGUAAGAUGCAAACAUGCAAAUAAGAGCAAAACCUGUAAGAAGAGUGAGCAGUCCUUCUACUGUACUUAGCAGUGACAAGGCUGUAACCAGAGCAGUGUUCAUAUUGCAGAGCUGGUUCAAGCCAGACUGGGGAAACCCAUUUUUUCUUAGCCAAAUGAAGAAAACAGAGCUGAAAAUAGGAAAUAUCUCUUCAAACUCCUAAACAGAUAAGAAUAAUGUCCCCAUUGACUAGCUGAAUAAGCAGGAGUCUAACAUUAAAACAAGGGAGACUCAAAUCAUAUGUUAGGAAAAAAAAGAAUCCCUUCCAGCAGUGAGCACUAAACAGCAUUGGUGGAGAGUCUCUGAAGUAGCUGAAGCCCUAUAAAAAAAAAAUAUCUCUUGUGAAUUUCUUGGUUCAUGACAUAGUUGAGAUUCAUCUUGCCCAAUUUUAUUUGUUUAAAAACAUUCACUCUUUAGUGUGUCAUCUGGGAAGCUUUCACUGUCAGUGAAAACGGACUUUGGGAUAGGAAACAUUUCCUCUGGAAUAAAUGAAGUCUCUGGAACAAAUGAAGUAUCUAGACUAGGUGGGAUGAGGGGCUUUGUUCUUGGCAAAUGCAAAAGGCGUAUGGAGGACCCAUGCUGUUCAGGCUGGAUGCCUGACUGGUUAUUUUAAGAUGUUUGCAAGAUGAAGGAAAUCUGUGAUACUUUAAAAAAGCAUCACAUCCUGCUUGUUCAAAAUGCCUUCAUCUUUAGAAUUUUCAGUGGCGUCUGUUUUCAACGAUUCCAAUGACUGAAUGGAAAAAAAAUGUCUGAGACUAUGCUUUGAACGAGUCAAAGUUCAGUUAAGUUAUUGUUCAUCAACUUAGCAAAGUAUACAAAACUGAGAAGCUUGUGAUUUGUCAAAAUCUUCAGCAUAACACUUUCUCUGAAAGACAUGACUGUAAGACUGGUGUUUCACUAUGUGCUA